CUUUGGAAAAAGCUCCAGUGCUGUUGAGGAUAAGGAGGAAAGGAAGGAGACUGUAACCCUAACUGUGCUGUAGCCAUUUGAUCUCAGACAAUCACUUUGGGAUCAUUGGGAUUUGAGUACUAAAUUGAAAGUCUACCAACAAAUCAAACAGAAGAAACCAGACAUCAAAACUGUGCCUGCAUUUGCUGCUCAUAGACAAACAGGCUGCAUGCAUGUGCAAACCUGGGACUCAGCUCACCCUUUGUGCACUGCUUUUCUCCAAACUCAUCCAAACAUGACCACUUACAAGGUCAUUUGCAUAUUUGAGGUAUAUUAGUUCAAGCUUUGGCAUGUGGACCAGCCAUUUUGAAGACAAGUUUAAGCUUAGAAUGAUCUGGUUUUCCGAGUCACAUUACCAAGCCUCAGAAGAGCAUUAUCUGGGGGCAGCUGAGAGAGAACUGCGGAAUGAAUCACAUCCGUCUAUGUGCUUACAACAUAAAGUGGCUGACAGAAACAAAGUCUGAUGUCUACACACACCUCUGUGGAGUGAGAGGAAAGCUUUGUGAAUGCCACUCUCACAAAACACAUGCCACACAGGGUAUUUUUACAGAGAGUGUCCAAAGCUGCAAGAUCUACAAGUCAUGUAUACAGGGAUGGAUAGAUGGUGUUUGUUUGAGAGCAAUACACAGCAUUGCAUUCUCAAUUUAUGUUUGUAUUUUUCUCCCAUGAAAUGUGUGAAUAAAGGUGCAGCUCAUUAACACAGAAUAAAAAGAAAAUCCUUAUAUUUAAAUAUUCUGUUAUUCUUAUAUGAACAUUAUUCCUUACUUUCUUCUUGAUUUAAAUUCAUCUGAUAUCAAAUGCUUAUUAUUUAUGAUUACUGUGAAACAUGUGUCAGUAAACACAGUUCUCUUUCUU